ACGACCUUACUUGAACAGGAUCUGUUCUAUAGGCUCGUACCUCUGUAUCCUUUAGCACGAAGGAGACAGGAUCUCAAGUCUGGUUGAUGAGCCACGACCUUGUGAUCAGAGCGUGAUUAACAGCUUCCUGGCCUCCAAGACCAGACAGCAGUAGAGGAUCGUUCUCAGCUAGUGCUCUGGCUGGGAUGGUCACAAGGUUGUCUGACAGACU
rnacentral:snoRNA from 1 species